rnacentral:rRNA from 1 species
CCUACGGGCGGCUGCAGUGGGGAAUAUUGGACAAUGGGCGAAAGCCUGAUCCAGCCAUGUCGCGUGUGUGAAGAAGGCCUUCGGGUUGUAAAGCACUUUCAGUGGGGAAGAAAGCCUUGGGGCUAAUACCCUCGAGGAAGGACAUCACCCACAGAAGAAGCACCGGCUAACUCCGUGCCAGCAGCCGCGGUAAUACGGAGGGUGCGAGCGUUAAUCGGAAUUACUGGGCGUAAAGCGCGCGUAGGCGGUCUGAUAAGCCGGUUGUGAAAGCCCCGGGCUCAACCUGGGAACGGCAUCCGGAACUGUCAGGCUAGAGUGCAGGAGAGGAAGGUAGAAUUCCCGGUGUAGCGGUGAAAUGCGUAGAGAUCGGGAGGAAUACCAGUGGCGAAGGCGGCCUUCUGGACUGACACUGACGCUGAGGUGCGAAAGCGUGGGUAGCAAACAGGAUUAGAUACCCUAGUAGUC